AAGGAGCACUUCUCCACGGACACCCGAGGAGUCGGGAUGGUAAACGUCUUGUGGCAGAGACCGUUUCGGAAGCAGUCGUCUUCCGGCGGGAGCUCAUGGGUGGAACGCUGGCAUGUGCCUCGUGUAUCGGUUGGUCCUGUGUGGCCGGCCGGCGGGGAUGUAGUCGACACACUGUUGGGUCCUGAGAGAACACGCGAGUGACUCUCUAGGUAUGAGAUAACGACGAGGCUGGAUCUUCAGUCAUACCGCGGGGCUUUCUUCGGAGGGUUUCGGUCUGGUGCUGAGUCAGGGUUAGGUCUUGUGUGUUGUUUGAGAACUGCACAGUGGACGCGAGCAUCUUUGUUU
rnacentral:misc_RNA from 1 species